rnacentral:tRNA from 1 species
UCCCUGGUGGCUCAGAGGUUAAAGCAUCUGCCUGCAAUGCAGGAGACCCAGAUUCGAUCCCUGGGUUGGGAA